UAAAACUCCAAGGUACAAGAGUUCACUUCAGACAUAGAAUGGGUCAAUAAAUUUUGAGGUUCGAUUGGCCAAGCUGCACCCCGAGAUGAUGACAGCGCUGAAUGGACAACUGUUGGCUGAUUCUAGAGGGUGAUGGACUUGGACUUCAUGGACAUGUGUGAAUGAAACAAAACAAAACUCCAGAAUGUUGCCAGCGUAUUCCUUUAGCCUGCCUGGCGGAGGAGUGACUCAUAAAUUAUAUAAAGUGCUUCCAGAGAGCGGGCCCCUGUGUUACCGCCAGCCACAACAAUCGCAGACUCUGAGGCGUAUUUGUCAUAGAGCCUUACCCCUCCACAUGUCACCGGAGCACAGGAGCAUUUCCGUCAACACUGGCUGCAUUUCCGCUCUCUUAAAUAUCCUGUACAAAAGUAAUGGGUGGGAGAGAGAAGCACUGCAACAUACAGAAAAAGCUGCUUUAAAAUACAUAUAUAAAAUUCAUGACUUGAACUCACAAAGAGGUUAGAAAUGUGUCCUGCUCCAGUAUAGAUUGUAAAAGCAGAGUUUAUGGUUGAAUAACAUGGCUUAAAGAUAGAAAAAAACAAAAAAAAACCUUGGGAUCCGCACCUUUAAUAUUAUCAUUAUAAUACAUUUGUCUGAGAAGCUUUAAGUUUUCAUGCAUUAUUCAUUCACUCCACAUACUCCUAUGGGAACCCAAACCUGUGACCACACAGGCUUGUCAAAGUCUGAUCUCGUCACAUCUCAGAAGCUAAAAGCACCGGGCCUGGUUAGUACUUGGAUAGGAGACCGCUGGGAAUACCAGAUGUCACAGGGGGCACGAGUAGCAAAACUGUUAGUGCGUCUUGAGGAAUGACACUUCACCCGCAUUCCCCGGUAUGAAUGUAGUGUGUGAGCGUUGGACGGAGGCAUCGAUUGGCAGCCUUGCUUCCAUCAGUCUGCCCCAAGUCUGCCACCGGUAUUUAUUUAUUUAUUAUUAUUAUUAUUACUAUUCUGUAUUUGGAGAAAAAUAAUCUGAAUCAAGUCUGCUUUUAGUAUUCCUUCUUGUGCAGUGUGCAUGUCUUAGGAGAAUUAGUGACUCUCUACCUUGAAUCAUUGAAUGAAGAGCCCACAGAUGUGAAGUGUCACUCCUGCAAUUUACUGUUGGCUCAAUAGUCCAGUUUCCCCGAAUCUACACCCACAGGCGCUGGAAUAAGCAAAUGAGAAGAAGCAUUUUUUACCUAUGGCCUACAGUAUUUUUAAAUCUCUCAUCUUGAAAAAGCCACACUUGACAAAACGAAUGACUUCACUUGAAGGAUUGCGGUGUUAAAUAUCUUUGUUAAAUAGAAAACUCCAAAAUUUGGCUCCUGCCUAUGAGAUACUGUCUUGAGGGAUUUACCAGAACAGCUCGGAUCAAGUCAUAGAUCCCAGUGCGGUGUCAAGGUAACAGGACCAUUUGUCAAGUAGAUUUACUGACACCUCUAGGCCCCUUAAUCUUUGCCAGCUCCAAAUUGUUCCAACAUACUCUAGAUAGUUGGCGAUUGUUUGAGCUUCAGCUGAAAUAUUUUUGGUCCACUGUGGCUUAUUUGCCCCCAUGAAUAUGCACUUGAACUAAGUUAGAUCGACUGCUUCUGAGUAUGGACAAUGUCUUUAAAAUAAAAAUAUUCCACCAUUUUCUGAUCUA